AUUUAUUUUUUAAGGUGCUGAUGGGCAUGAGGGUAUGAGCUGAAACCAUACCAACUUCUCCUCUUCAAGACAGUGACAGACCUCACUUGAAAUUCUAUGAGCAGAAGACACCGUUUGUUAUAUAACAAAUCAUAUAUUCAUCAUUUUUGAGAUGCGAUGAGAAACAAUAUGGAAAACACAAUGGCCCUUCAAGUCUCUUCUGAUGAAGUCUCCUGCAGUAAUGCUGCUGCUGAGGAAAACCCGAGGAAUCCUAAAGGCCAUGGAGGAAAAGCAGAAAAACUUAACAGUGGUAGCAGUGGUGACCAUUUAGCCGGUAUUGUGAGUGAGGUAACAGAUACACUGGGCUGAAGACUGCCCGGCUGUCGAAACAUCUAACCGUCUUUUGGUUCUGUGUAACAGUCAUGUUGACAGCAUAUGCAAUCAAUAAAGUAGUCAACCUUUUCUCAGCAAAAGUGGUCAGUGUUUUGUCUGGCUUAUGGUUUGUCUAUUUCUCAGUAAACCAUCAGUUGUUGUAGCUGAAAACAAAGGCAUAAGAAAGAUGCAGCAUGAGAAUCAAGCGGCAAAGUGCAGAGCUGGAGGAACAUGGUCCAUUCUUCUCUUUGCAGGAUGAACAAGUGUCUUCUGAGAGUAUGGUACAUGAGGUUGUAAUAGAUAUUCCAAGAGAAAGAAAGAGAGAAACUUCAGUUUAAAGAACAAGAGGGGGAGCACAUAAGAAUAAAUGUUGCUGUUCGUUGUUCUGUUUGUUGCUAUAAUUAUUUGAGAAGUGUAUUAAACAAAACAGCAUGAUCAGCAAUAUUUCAUUCCUAUCCAGGAUAUACUUCAGCAAAUAAGCAGAAUUACAAAAAAAAUUCAAUACAACUCCGCUUGUACAGUGGACUCUCAUUUAAUUGAAACUCAAGUAAUCAGAACUCUCAAAAUACCACCAAAAAUCAAAGAAAUAAUAUGUUUUUAAAAAAAGAAAAGAAAAGAAACAUUUGUUCUUAAGUUGAAUUUAUGUGUAAAUCAGGACAGGUAAAUUUUUAAGGUGUACCUCCAGCCAAAAAAUUGUAUAUAUUUAAAAGAUUUCCUGAAGUGGGUUGAUGGAGUUCAUUUUUGUCCUGUUAAGUAUUUUAAUCUAGACAUUGUCAAUCCCCUAAACUUAUCUUAGUUUAUGGUUUCAUUAUCUCCUCUCUUCCCUAUUGCAGUGGCACAGUGAAUGCAGCCAAGGCUUGAUUCCAGUCUUUCAAGAAAUCACUCAAAGUGCUGAACCCUAUCUCAAAUACUUCAGAUAGCUCCUUUAAAGUUCAGACUAAAACCCCAAGCCCUUCCACACAGCCCUAUAUCCCAGAAUAUCAAGGCAGAAAAUCCCACAUUAUCUGCUUUGAACUGGAAUAUAUGGCAGUGUGGAUUCA